rnacentral:rRNA from 1 species
AUUGAACGCUGGCGGCAUGCUUUACACAUGCAAGUCGAACGGUAACAGGGUGCUUGCACCGCUGACGAGUGGCGAACGGGUGAGUAAUGCAUCGGAAUGUACCGUGUAAUGGGGGAUAGCUCGGCGAAAGCCGGAUUAAUACCGCAUACGCCCUGAGGGGGAAAGUGGGGGACCGAAAGGCCUCACGUUAUACGAGCAGCCGAUGUCUGAUUAGCUAGUUGGUGAGGUAAAGGCUCACCAAGGCGUCGAUCAGUAGCGGGUCUGAGAGGAUGAUCCGCCACACUGGGACUGAGACACGGCCCAGACUCCUACGGGAGGCAGCAGUGGGGAAUUUUGGACAAUGGACGCAAGCCUGAUCCAGCCAUGCCGCGUGUCUGAAGAAGGCCUUCGGGUUGUAAAGGACUUUUGUCCGGGAGCAAAUCCUAGUGGUUAAUAACCGCUGGGUCUGAGAGUACCGGAAGAAUAAGCACCGGCUAACUACGUG